CCUACGGGAGGCAGCAGUAGGGAAUCUUCCACAAUGGGCGAAAGCCUGAUGGAGCAACGCCGCGUGGGUGAAGAAGGUCUUCGGAUCGUAAAACCCUGUUGUUAGAGAAGAAAGUGCGGGAGCGUAACUGUUCACGUUUCGACGGUAUCUAACCAGAAAGCCACGGCUAACUACGGGCCAUCAGCCGCGGUAAUACGUAGGUGGGAAGCGUUAUCCGGAUUUAUGGGGUUUAAAGGGUGCGUAGGCGGACAGUCAAGUCAGCGGUAAAAAUGCGGUGCUCAACGCCGUACAGCCGUGGAAACUGGCAGUCUGGAGUGGGCGAGAGGUAUGCGGAAUGCGUGGUGUAGCGGUGAAAUGCAUAGAUAUCACGCGGAACACCGAUUGCGAAGGCAGCAUACCGGCGCCCGACUGACGCUGAGGCACGAAAGCGUGGGUAUCGAACAGGAUUAGAUACCCCAGUAGUC
rnacentral:rRNA from 1 species